AUGUGCACGUGUGCACAGCAUUUCAUGUAUGUUCUUGGAAUUCAGUUUUACAAUGAAGGCUAUUUUAUUUCAUCACUGCUGUUACGAGGGCCAGGACAGAUACUGUGUGGGGAUGUGGACGGUGGAUGCGGGUCACCUGGAGCUCACCUGGAUGCAGAGUGCACGGAUCCUUCCAUCCCGUCUCCUCAGACAAACACAUCACACUCGGGAUGCAUGUGGCUCAAUACCCACUCUUGGCAUCCCAUACUCAUAUCCCUGACUAGUGACAGACAGCAGCGCCAGCCAAUGGGCACACAGCCUCCGCUUCGCCUGCCUCCCUACCUGCCUGCUUGCAACUUCACAAAAUCUGGGACGCUCCUGCCAACAGACGCCCUCCUAGAACCUGGCUCUCCAUUCAAACCCGGGAACCCACUUUUAAGCCCCCCCCCACAUGCCUACCCCAACUGUGAUGAAGCCAACCGCGCUCCCAAACCACGGUUAGGGUUAAUGUCCCACUUGGGAAGCAUGGUCUGGUGCCCAUGUGGACACGGACCAAAAGGGGACAUGCGAGUCUGCUCCGAUCCGGACACUGUCCACGACGGAACAUGCGAGUCUGCUCCUUUCCGGACUCUGUCCACGACGGAACAUGCGAGUCUGCUCCGAUCUGGACACUGUCCACGACGGAACAUGCGAGUCUGCUCCGAUAUGGACACUGUCCACGACGGAACAUGCGAGUCUGCUCCGAUCUGGACACUGUCCACGACGGAACAUGCGCGUCUGCUCCUUUCUGGACACUGUCCACGACGGAACAUGCGAGUCUGCUCCUUUCCGGACUCUGUCCACGACGGAACAUGCGAGUCUGCUCCGAUCUGGACACUGUCCACGACGGAACAUGCGAGUCUGCUCCGAUCUGGACACUGUCCACGACGGAACAUGCGAGUCUGCUCCGAUCUGGACACUGUCCACGACGGAACAUGCGAGUCUGCUCCGAUCUGGACACUGUCCACGACGGAACAUGCGCGUCUGCUCCUUUCUGGACACUGUCCACGACGGAACAUGCGAGUCUGCUCCGAUCCGGACACUGUCCACGACGGAACAUGCGAGUCUGCUCCGAUCUGGACACUGUCCACGACGGAACAUGCGAGUCUGCUCCGAUCUGGACACUGUCCACGACGGAACAUGCGCGUCUGCUCCUUUCUGGACACUGUCCACGACGGAACAUGCGAGUCUGCUCCGAUCCGGACACUGUCCACGACGGAACAUGCGAGUCUGCUCCGAUCCGGACACUGUCCACCAGGCAAGCUGCAGGUGUGCUCCCAACUGUACACUGUUCUUCAUAAUGAUAGUUGUAUGUCAUUGCAGGAGGGACAGCGCAGUGUUUUAAAGGUUUUUCAAAAACACUCUGGUACCUCUAUGUCACUGAGGCUGCAGCCCUCUGUUACAAAAAGUGUAGCCCUACACUUUUCGAAAUCUUCCCUAACCCUAACCCUAACCCUGCAGAUACAAAAGUACAAGUGA
rnacentral:lncRNA from 1 species